rnacentral:lncRNA from 1 species
GCUGCCAUUCGUCUCCUCUGCCAGAAUGUGAGGUCCGCGACAGCAGGGAUAAGAAUGCAUUCAUUUUUAUAUCUGCAGUGCCUUGGAGAGUGUCUGACACAUAGUGGGCACUCAUUUAGAAACCACCAAUUGAAUCAUUAAGGUGACCAAAAACAGGGUGGGGGAAAUACGUCCAUCAGACAACAGGGAAAUAUUUCUUAAAAAAAAAAUUUCCCAAAACUAGCUUUUCCCUCCUUAUGUGUCUGAAAUAUCUCAUAAAAUUUUAAACUAUCCCUUUCAGCACAAAUCUGCCUGGAGCUGUUUCCUGAACACAGGACCAAAAGGCAGGAAUCAAAAGUAGUAAUGAGUUUAGUUAUCUGUCUGUUACUGAAGGUGACUUCUAGGGCAUCCUCCUGGCAUUGCUUCUGGAAUACAGUGACUUAGACUUAUUCGGAAGAACAUCUCUAUGCUGUUCAUCACAUCGCCAGCACCUAGCCCUGUGCCUGUGCAUAGUAAAUGCUCAGAAAAGAAAAAACAACAAAGUUUCCAGCUCUUACUCUAGAUUGACACUGGACCUUGGAGAUGCUUGCAGGUAAUUUGACUGCACCUACUUUCCUUUUUUGGUUAAUUGUGUUAAAUGUGCCUCAUAACUUACAUUCCCGGUGAGGCUGUCAUUUAGAAGGGGUGGGUGGGGGCUGAGGGGAAGCUGUUUUAAUUCUGGCUUUUGUUUCAGCCACUAAAUGUAAUGCCACAUGAUUGUUGACCCAACAAUAAUCCAGUUAAAAAACAGUCUUCAGAGUUACUACAUCAUCAGAAUUAACCCUGAUUACAUCAAAUUAUGUUGAAACAGACCACAGCUGUUUGCCCUGUUGAAGCAACUGCUUGAGAGCUCCUCCGGAAGAUACAUCUGGGUGUCACUAAGAUACAUUUUGGGUUUAGUUUUGUUUCUCAACACAAAUGUAGGAGGGAAACAAACCCUGUUCUGCUGGGGUGCCUGGUGGGAGCUGAAAACCUUGUGAUUCUCCAGCAGUCAAAAGUCAUCUCAAUUACCAAAGAGAAGGGAACCUGAGAUCUUUUGUUUCAGUUUUCUAUAGGAAGGAUGUAAGAGGAAGGAAAUUCAAAUCUGUUGAGUAUUGCUCUUGCCAGCAAAAAGAAGUGGAACUGACUAGUGAGAUGGUGGUGAGAUUUUCUUUGGUGGCUGUGUGCAGUGGUAUCAACCCAGGAGAGUAGACUGUUCAAUUGUGAAGAAUUUUGCAAGAUGGUUGUUAAAGUAGAACAUCGUUAAAAUUAAGUUGUAAUAAAAAAAGGGAAAUAA